rnacentral:rRNA from 1 species
GAUGAACGCUGGCGGCGUGCCUAAUACAUGCAAGUCGAGCGAACGGACGAGAAGCUUGCUUCUCUGAUGUUAGCGGCGGACGGGUGAGUAACACGUGGAUAACCUACCUAUAAGACUGGGAUAACUUCGGGAAACCGGAGCUAAUACCGGAUGAUAUUUUGAACCGCAUGGUUCAAAAGUGAAAGAUGGUAUUGCUGUCACUUAUAGAUGGAUCCGCGCUGCAUUAGCUAGUUGGUAAGGUAACGGCUUACCAAGGCAACGAUGCAUAGCCGACCUGGGAGGUGGAUCGGCCACACUGGAACUGAGACACGGUCCAGACUCCUACGGGAGGCAGCAGUAGGGAAUCUUCCGCAAUGGGCGAAAGCCUGACGGAGCAACGCCGCGUGAGUGAUGAAGGUCUUCGGAUCGUAAAACUCUGUUAUUAGGGAAGAACAUAUGUGUAAGUAACUGUGCACAUCUUGACGGUACCUAAUCAGAAAGCCACGGCUAACUACGUG